AACGUAGGUGGCGAGCGUUAUCCGGAUUUACUGGGCGUAAAGCGUGUGCAGGUGGGUUUACAAGUGGUGUAUGAAAUCUCUCAGCUUAACUGAGAGCGGUUAUGCCAGACUGUAAGCCUAGAGUACGAGAGAGGGACGUGGAAUUCCAGGUGUAGCGGUGAAAUGCGUAGAGAUCUGGAGGAAUACCGGUGGCGAAGGCGGCCCCCUGGACGAAGACUGACGCUCAGGUGCGAAAGCGUGGGGAGCAAACAGG
rnacentral:rRNA from 1 species